rnacentral:ncRNA from 1 species
GUUGGAGUAAUGCGGGUUGUAGUUGAUGAACGUGAAGCCGCGGGCCUGGUCGAUGACGUGAAACAGCGGGUUCCAGCUGAACAGGGCGAGCAUGUUGAAGGGAAGGGUAUUCGCGAGGAACAUCUUGCCGGAGGCGAUCAUGUUCGCGCG